AUCCCAUGAUUUGGACACUUCCUCAUUAGCUCCUUGAACUUGUUUCAUGUCUCGUGAUAGCUCUCCCCAUUUCUCUAUUGGAAGGUAUAAAUUUUCAAUCUGAUUUU
rnacentral:snoRNA from 1 species